rnacentral:rRNA from 1 species
UGCAAGUGGUAGGAAACCGAAAGGUGACGACCCUUCGGGGAGCUUGCACAGGUGCUGCAUGGCUGUCGUCAGCUCGUGUCGUGAGAUGUUCGGUUAAGUCCGCUAACGAGCGCAACCCUCGCUGUGUGUUAUAUGUGUCACACGGGACUGCCGGUCUUAAGCCGGAGGAAGGUGGGGAUGAUGUCAAGUCAGCAUGGCCUUUAUAUCCUGGGCUACACACACGCUACAAUGGCCAACACAAUAGGUUGCUAAGCCGCGAGGUGGCGCCAAUCCAUAAAGUUGGUCUCAGUUCAGAUUGUAGGCUGCAACCCGCCUGCAUGAAGAUGGAGUUGCUAGUAACCGCAGGUCAGCUAUACUGCGGUGAAUACGUUCCCGGGGCUU